CUACGGGCGGCAGCAGUGAGGAAUAUUGGUCAAUGGGCGCGAGCCUGAACCAGCCAUCCCGCGUGCAGGAUGACGGCCCUAUGGGUUGUAAACUGCUUUUCUAUGCCAAGAAACCUGAUUACGUGUAAUCAGUUGCCGGUAGCAUAGGAAUAAGCAUCGGCUAACUCCGUGCCAGCAGCCGCGGUAAUACGGAGGAUGCAAGCGUUAUCCGGAUUCAUAGGGUUUAAAGGGUGCGCAGGUGGGCUUGUAAGUCAGUGGUGAAAUGCUGCCGCUUAACGGUAGAACUGCCAUUGAUACUGCGAGGCUUGAGUAUGGUUGAGGUAGGCGGAAUGUGUUGUGUAGCGGUGAAAUGCAUAGAUAUGACACAGAACGCCAAUUGCGAAGGCAGCUUACUAAGCCAUUACUGACGCUGAGGCACGAAAGCGUGGGGAGCGAACAGGAUUAGAUACCCGCGUAGUC
rnacentral:rRNA from 1 species